rnacentral:sRNA from 1 species
UAUAAAUAUGCGAAAUUUUUAAAAUUUUUAAAAUUUGCUUUUAUUUUUUUAAUUAUUUCACCAUGAUGCAGAAUGAUAGGUUUUCGUUUCUAGAGAGCAGAAACCAUACAUUUGUUUUGCUUCCUCCUCCAUUCAUUCUCCGUUGUGACUACAAAGAGUUCUCCACUUUUCGCUGCCACCUUCUUCAUUUUUCUUAUUGAUUUUCUUUGAAGGACCUUCACUCUCACCGCUUCUCGUCAUUGCUGAAGCCCACUUCACGAGUCCUCCAUUCUUGCCAUCACUCAACUAUGAAUUGAUGGUGUUGCAGAUGAGGCAGAGAUGAAGUAGCACGACGAGAGUUACGGGAAAUACUAUGGGG